CAGAACCUGCGUUGUUCGUAAGAUUUUCUUGGUUUUGAUCCUAUUUAUGUUUAGGGAACCGGAAUGAUCCGUUCAGUACGUCAAGCCCUUUUAGAGGGACGGCGGAAAGGCUGAUCCAGGUACCCACCUGCGAGAGCAGGGUCAGAAACCUGGAGUUUUACGGCAAGGCGGGGAUGGU
rnacentral:other from 1 species